CCUACGGGUGGCAGCAGUGAGGAAUAUUGGUCAAUGGUCGCGAGCCUGAACCAGCCAAGUAGCGUGAAGGAUGACUGCCCUACGUGUUGUAAACUUCUUUUAUCAAGGAAUAAAGUGAGGCACGUGUGCCUUUUUGUAUGUACUUUAUGAAUAAGGAUCGGCUAACUCCGUGCCAGCAGCCGCGGUAAUACGGAGGAUCCGAGCGUUAUCCGGAUUUAUUGGGUUUAAAGGGUGCGUAGAUGGGUGGUUAAGUCAGUUGUGAAAGUUGGCGGCUAAAACGUAAAAUUGCAAUUGAUACUGGCAGGCUUGAGUACAGUUGAGGUAGGCGGAAUUCGUGGUGUAGCGGUGAAAUGCUUAGAU
rnacentral:rRNA from 1 species